CAAUUCACAAUAUUAAUCGACCAGGUCGUUCCCAGGAAAGAGGGGGCCUUCCGGUAAGGAUUUUUCCUCACUGGCGCGCAAUUACCUAACCUCUCCUUGACAGAACUUCUAGACAUCGUUAAUAUUGUAAAUAAUAAUAUUAAUAACUUUGUCAUCUCAAUUAUUGAUUUAAAAUAUAUGAAAAUAUUGACAAUAAUUGAAUCAACUAACGUGAGAUACUAUGCAGCAAAUACUGUAGAAAUAAUUGAACAAAACUGAGUGACUUCUCACGAAAGCAUCAAUAAUCAAUACCGUGUGCUACUAUGCAACCACGCGUAUUACUGUACUUUUACUACUGGGUAGUUCAACAGUAUUAACGGUAAAACUUUCGCCAUUAUUUUCAUAAAAAUAUAUUUUGUCGUGUUCUCAAUCCGACAAUAAUUCCGUUGUGGGGUCCUCCAAUGAUUGUACCGUCGUACGGAUAUUCUCCGACAAAAAUAAUAUUCACCGACCAAUCGAAUAUUAUUUAUCCACUUGCGUACUUUGCAAAAUUUAUAAAUCUUACCCACAACUAUAACAUUAUAUCAAAUUUACUCCAUAAUAUUCAAAAAUAAUAUUUAUAGAAAAUUCAUCUUUAUUCAUAAAAGUUAGGGUCUUACAAUAUAUAUGCUCUAUGACAUGCCAACUACACGAUUGGACCAUGAGAACACAUGAAUCAGGAUAUGAACCUAGAUUAAAUCGAGCUACAAAGUGUCCACUCGUACUGCUGGGUUUCUGGGAAAACCCAGAAUCACUCUGACAAGUACUUUGGAGACACAGAUCUCCUUGAUACGUUGUUGUAUGACCAAGCUAAGUAUUGUAACUUGUAGAGUUACAUACACAUUACAAGAUCUGAGUCUUAUAUUGAACAGAACAUGUAUGGAUUAAGAAUUAAAGGCAGUCAAACGUGACCCCUUGAAACACUGAUUGUCAGUGUUCUUGAGGCCAAGAACACCCAAGACGACAGAAAGUGUCGCUAAAGGCCCAGCGACG
rnacentral:lncRNA from 1 species